rnacentral:lncRNA from 1 species
AACUAAACCAUCAUAUUCUCCUCAUCAUGACCCUCCAAACAGCCACAACCAUAACGAUCGCAAGUCUCAAAAAGGACACUCCAGCAUUCUAGUUCUACCACAUUGCUAUGACACCUCCUGUGACCAUCCAGGAAGCUACUGGGCGCUACAUCAAAUCGCUUUUUUUCUUGCCUCUGCAAUUCUGGAGCUCAAUCUCAAGCCUUCAAUUCAUCUGGAGAGGUUUAUCAAUUACUUUUCUCCCACCUGUAUAAAUUGGAGGGUGGUGCCAAAAAAAGUAGCUGCAUUCCUACCGGCCUGCAUUACCAAAUAGGAGAAAGGUUUGAGUGAGCAAAUUAGAAGGGCGACAACCAACAAAGCUUUGACCUAUUUCAUGGAUGGAGCAACCAAAGCAGCACUGGCUUGCGUUUGCAACCAUCCACAAAAUCUGAAGUGGAGCUCUUCUUCUGCAAUGACAGAGACAGACAAGAUUGAGAAAUAUAGAUUCCAUGUUAAUCUUGCUUGAUUUCCCCCCAUCUACCUCUUUCGCUAUCUCUCUUGAUCAUGAUACUAGGCUUUCCAGGGUUAUUUCCCCCUAACUCUCUUUCCCUAAAAAAGCCUUUGAGCCCUUAUUUUAAGUGGAGGAGAAGACAAGCAUGGGCAACUCACACUGGGACUGUGUUAUGGGAUUCUACGAUAAAUCUUUCUGGUCCAUGGUUAAAUAUUUUGUUACCUGAUUCUCACGGAUGUAUUUACACUUGACUGGUUUAAUUUAUUUAAUUUACCAAAAAAAAAAAAGGACAAGCAUGCGGAACCCAACAAAUAUGGUUUCCUUGGGACCAAAAUAGAGAGCGCUUCCUUAAGGUGUGGAUUGGGGCCAUUUAGAAAUUUCUGAAGUUUUAAAACCUCAUGCAAUGGUCACAUAAGCCGUUUACUGAAACCCAGUCCAUGCCCGGUUGACGAAGAUGGACGGCAGCACCUCUUUGGAUCAAAGCAGUAACUUCGUGGGUGUCCUAGACUUCUUAAAGCAGAGGAGCUAAGUGCCAAUCAUGAAAACUAGAGGCAGGCAUACCAUAUUUUUCCCUGGAACUUUAUAUCAACUUGACCUAAAUCUAGUCCAUUGAUAUUCCUAUAAACUUAAGUCUAAUGCAUGCAAUGCAAGUGAAGGGCACUUUCAGGUGGCUACAAUCCCUCAACCUUUAUAAUUUAAUAAAUAUACUAGAUUUUUUUGACAGCCUCCCUUCUCCACCUCAAAUUAAGAAUAAACCUGAAAAAGGCAUAAUGAGAGACGAUACAGUAAAAUGGUGACAGAUGACCGCAAAACAUGAGCCUUGUAAUCUACAAGCAUACUUUCAACUAUUGUAAUGGUAACAACGAUGGUCUAAGCCCAAAAUCAACAAAACAAAUACUAUAUAUCAACUUACUAGAACCAUACAUCAGCUAGGUAACAGGGUAGAAGGAAGAACCUCCCUAACCACAAUUGCAACCAUAUAUCAACUCACUAGAACUCUGUCAGCUCAAAAUUACCGUAAGCACUCUAUUAAAACAGACAAUCCAUUGAUUCAAACAUUUUAUAAGUUCGCAAUGAUAUUAUCAGUCAUCAAUGUCCUCCGGUCCAUGCACCUUGAAAACUAGACAUCAUGGCUGACACCUUCCCCCACAGGCAAUUAGCCCCGGACAACUCCGAAGCAAGCAGGUUGACAGCCUCACCCCUAAAACCAAGCUCAUAUUUCAGACAUCUCUCAUAUCACGGCACAAAUUCUCACAAUCAUUUCAAACGUCACACCAAAGAUAUCCAGCCAGAAUAUAGAGUUUAUGCGCACAGACCAUGGUUAAACAUGCUUGAAUCAUAUGACUGAUGGAUAACAUUAACAUAUGCAGUAGGUCAGGUACUCGAGUCAAUAGAAUGCACAGCUUAGUCCAUUAAAUCUUGAGCAAAAGCUUAGGUCAUUAAAUCAAGAAGACAGGUCUAAAACUUUAUGGAGAAUAGAAAAGGUACUUGACCAAACUCUGUUCGAGAAGGUUUCCAUGUAUGCACAGCUAUGCCCGCUAAAGGUAGAAUCAAGAAACCCUCCGAAGCUAGGUACUAAUGAUAUAAUACAUUCUAUGCUAUCCUUUCUGCAGUAAUAAGUCAGUUUAAAUAUAAAUCCCCGAAUAACCCUCUUUUGGCAUCUGGCCAGUGUGUCAUGACAACAACAAUGCAGCUGCUCAGGGACCAUCUUUGGGCUCAUGAUCGUCAUUGGCUGCUGCUGCUGCUGCGGCCGUCACCCUGAACGAAGGGUACUCCUCACAAGGAAUCACCAAGUAUUGUGGACAACACAAGCUCCUGCACAAACUUGCUCCUUCGAGUUCUCUCCUCCUGAUCUUUCUUGGAUAGAGAUGGCACAACACUGGCAGUAAGACGACCAGAGGUUAGGCAAAUAAAUUGAAAAUAUCUUUGACAAGCACAUUGGGUAACAAGAAGCAUGAAAGAAAGAUCCUUUUUUGCCAGAGUCUAAGCAUGUGAUAAUUUAACAGUACGUAAUCGAUGUUUGAAUGUUUCCUAAACUCUCACUCUGCACUAUAAUGCAAAGCAACAGUUCCCAUUUUCCAAGUGCUCAGCAGAUUGAAAGGUCAAAAUGCUAAAUACACAUUAAAGGAUAUCUAGACCUUUGGAAAAAUCUUAGAUGCUCAACACUGGGUGAUGCAUCUCUCGCUGGUUUCUUUUGGCAACAGGAAGAAGGUUUUAUUCUUUUACCCCUUCUAAUAAUGCAUUGUGCAUGGAGCACAAGAAGGGGAGGGGGCAAGAUUAGAUGGAUAGGCAUGUUUGGCUAGCAAAUAAGAGGUAGCACUCCGAUACUCAUAAACUCAACCCUCAGAAAGAUUGUAUUUGGUCCCAGGUCUCAUUGGUUCACACUUUAGGCAUUUCAUUACAUCUGCACAUUCUGGUCGAGAACGCUCCUUGUCAAGGUUAAAGGCCAAGCGCUCGUUCUCCCUCAAACCCAAUCAGCGAUUUUGUGAUACAAAAAUAAGUCAUCUAUAUUUAAUGAUUAUACACUUGGCUUAGAGAAUUUGGUAGAAAUCAAAUGCCUAUGAUUCCAUCUUGAUAGGGUUACUGGGUUAAAAUUGAAUAAUCACAUAAGUAGCUUUAACUGAAAUAUGAAAGAAUGAGGACAGAGUAGCACAGCAGGCAGACUAGAGAAAAUUACAAAGAGCAAAGCCAUUUAAUAUAAUCAAAUGCCUACGAUUCCAUCUCCACUUUCGUUUGCAGCCUAGGGCAAUUGAGCACCCAACCCCCCCCCCCCACCCNNNNNNNNNNNNNNNNNNNNNNNNNNNNNNNNNNNNNNNNNNNNNNNNNNNNNNNNNNNNNNNNNNNNNNNNNNNNNNNNNNNNNNNNNNNNNNNNNNNNNNNNNNNNNNNNNNNNNNNNNNNNNNNNNNNNNNNNNNNNNNNNNNNNNNNNNNNNNNNNNNNNNNNNNNNNNNNNNNNNNNNNNNNNNNNNNNNNNNNNNNNNNNNNNNNNNNNNNNNNNNNNNNNNNNNNNNNNNNNNNNNNNNNNNNNNNNNNNNNNNNNNNNNNNNNNNNNNNNNNNNNNNNNNNNNNNNNNNNNNNNNNNNNNNNNNNNNNNNNNNNNNNNNNNNNNNNNNNNNNNNNNNNNNNNNNNNNNNNNNNNNNNNNNNNNNNNNNNNNNNNNNNNNNNNNNNNNNNNNNNNNNNNNNNNNNNNNNNNNNNNNNNNNNNNNNNNNNNNNNNNNNNNNNNNNNNNNNNNNNNNNNNNNNNNNNNNNNNNNNNNNNNNNNNNNNNNNNNNNNNNNNNNNNNNNNNNNNNNNNNNNNNNNNNNNNNNNGGAAAAAAACCCUCUUCUCUCCUCUCAAUCUGGUUCUCAUUCUCGAAGGUGAUCAAUGGUAGCCAGCACCACUCAUGGAAUUGAUCAAGCUGAGUUUCAUCUAUCUAUCUGUUUUAAAGGCUUGCCUCUAUUUCUCCCUCUCUACCUCAUUUUCUUUUCUUUUUUCUGAUGUUGUUAGACCGCAUAAGGAAUGGGUUUAGUCCAACUUGUUAAAACAGGGAUUUUCGGUCAGUCUUCUUUUCCUUUCUUCUCUUUACCUUUGCAGUCAGAGCUUAGGAUGCUCUAAUGAACAUCCAUGGUUGUGACACAGCGGUAUUUGUUUUGGAGAGAUUCAAAGACUUUGGGACCCCAAAAAUAUUUACCACCAUCAAAGUUAGCAGACUUGGAACUCGAAGAAGAUACAUGAUUAAACUUAAACUAUGAUGAUUGGAUCACAAUACAUAACUUGGAGUGCAGUGGAAAGAUCUGAUAAAUGAUUCCAUGGCAUACGUAGUUGGAAGAUUAUAAGUUUAAAUAGCAUAAGGUUAGACAUAACAUUUGUUGUAAGCAAGAUUCGUGGAUUUGGUACCGGAGCUCGUGUCGGCCAGCUGACGGUAUGGGUCAGUACAGGUCCAUAUCGUAUUGGGCCGGCGCGAACCAAAACAAAGAAAGGAAGGGAACCAGGAGGAGGCAAAGAGAGAGAGAAAGAGAAAUAGAGAGAGAAGAAGGAAGAAAGAAAAGGAGGGAGGGGAAGGCGUUGAAUGGGCCGUUGGAUGACCUCCAUCUGGCUGCCGUGGCCGUCGGAUAGCGCAUUCCACGUGCGCGGUGCCGCAGGUAUGAAACAGGAGCGACGUCCUUAUUUCACGAAAUUUUUUUUAAAAAUUCAGAAUUUAAGUAAAGCCGACAAACCACUUGCCGGUUUCACUGUUUUUGCUUUUUUUCAAAAAAAAACAAAAAAAUGAAGCCUGCAAUCCGAUUAUCGACUUUACUAUUUUUAAUUUUUUUUUAAAUCUCUUAAACAGUGAAGCCGGUAAAUAGUUUGCCAGCUUCACUAUUCAUCUCCAUUUUUAAAAAAGGGCCGACGCAUGAAUGGGCUGUCGCCCCUGUUCCGCAAUCGCGACUCCAUCCGCAGGGUUUUCGCCGUCCGCUAGCCACAGCAGCCGUUCGAAAACAUUCGACAGCCCCUCCACCAUCCCAUCCUCCCUCCAAUGAGUCACUCCCCCCUCUCUCUCUCGUUUAACAGUCCUAUCGGGUGAACCGAGCCGUCGAGGCUUUCGAGCCCCUCCAACGGCCGCAGUGGGCCACCGCCAGUCUCCGACGGCAUCCUCAUCUCUCUCCCUCUCCUCCUCUCUCUCUUCCUCUCUUUCCCUCUCUUUCUCCCUCGACGCUGGCGUGUGCCGCUUUCCAAACUGGAACCAUCCCGGUUCCUCGCCGAUCCGGUUCAACACGCCCCGAAUCAUCCGAUUCGAGAUAGUUCUGAAAACCUUGGUUGUAAGAUAGAGUAACCAGUUUAUGCACCUCAUAUCAGCAAUCAUUAGUUCUCAUACUUGAAAGGAGCUCAAACAAGGUAAAUCAUCUUAACGAUCCAUUGAUAAGACAUGAUCAACCUCUCCAAGAGGACCCCAUAAAAUUUUGUCUAGGAAGCCAGAAUCCAGAUAGAGUGCAUAGAAUCAAUACGAAGGAUGGCUCAAAUAAAUCUCAAAAAUUAUACAGCUGAAGACACAAAUGUAAGAGAUAUGUUUUGUGAUCAGUAGCCUGAUGAAGAAGCACCAUGAUAAUUAGGCAGCAAAUACAUUACAAGCAGCCCUGUGCUUCAUGGGUGUCCAUAAGCAAAUGAAAUCUUUUAGAUUGCCUUAGAUCCAAUAUUUUGGCCAAUUUAGUUGUGAUUGUAAUGCGCAAUUAUGCAUGAAUAGCCCCACUAGAACGGCACUUUGUGUUCUUUCUUGCUUUUCCCCCACCAUUUUUCUGCCCCCGCCUUUUUUUUUGGUGGUUUGGGUUGGGACGGGGGUGUGGAGGGAGGGUCAUCCACUUAAAGCAGAGGCCUCAAUGCAUCAUCUUUUGUUUUCUUUCUUCAAUGCAUCUAUAUCCCUGCUUCUCCUCCUUGAAUAUUUUCCUCCUUUACUUGUUAUAUCUUCCUUCCUAUUUCAUGUUUGUUUCAUCUAUCAAAGCCUUUUGACCUCAGUACAAAUUUUAAGACCUCUAGGCAUCUUUGAUCACAUCGAGAUUGGUGGACAAGAUCUUCAGUAUGACUAAAGUUCUGUGCACAAUAUUAGAUUUCCAUUACAAUUAAAAGAGAUGUAUCAUGCAUACAUGAAUCUGUGCAUGCACAGGCACAGAAAAAGCACUAGGUAAUUAGAUCCAAUUAAGCCAAAAAAGCUCCCUAAUUGGAUUAAAAAAUUACAACCAAACCAAAAAAAAAAAAACAAUUUACAAACCAAAAGAAUAUUUUCCACAUUCAGUUAAUAAAAGAAUAAUCAACACAAGAAAACCAAAAAACUAACUAAGGGACUUCUCAUUCAGAAGAAUGUCUGACUAAGUCAUAUUAAACUCAUUCAAAAGAAUACAAACCAUAGCAUUAGAUAGCAUUAGAUAAUAACAACACCUCCACUAAUAACAAGAGUCACCAGAAUUGACUACACUAGAAUGAGAGAUAUCAAUUUAUUUAACACAAGUUACAAUCUAAAUCAUCUCUCUAACUCAUCUAUUGAUAAUUUUGGCAUGCAUUACUAGAGACGAAGUUAAAAAUGUAACUUAACUAGACUCUAAAGCCAUCUGGAAAUAAGUCUAUUUCUCCCCAUAUAAAUCCAAUUUAUAGUGAUGAACACCCUAUGCCAUGUCCCCAUACAAGCAAAUGAUUCAUCAGGAAACAGUAGAAAGUAAUUCCAAAUCAUUUUUCUCGCCAUCUUGCAAAAACAACUUUUUCAGAGUAAUCAAGUGGAAGUCAGUGAAUCUUGAAAGAUUACCACCACCUUAUUGGAACUACAAUGGAAAUUAUCAUACAAUUAAUGAAAAAGAUAAUAUAAUUGAGAGAUUUUCAUACCUUUCUACUGCUUUCUCAUCUGAAGUUUUGUUAAUCACAGCUCGUUCAUUCAAGGAUUCAGGCUUUACAUCUUUUGAUGAAUCAGCCACAGGAAAGUUAAAAAUGAAGGAUGACAGCAAUGGAUCAGGUGCAGUAUUGGAGGGAGCAACUGUAUACGAAGACCCCCCAAAAAGAGAUUGUAGAUUCCCUUCUCGCAGAUCCUUUCUCCACAAAGAAAGUGUAGAAUGGGAACCUGAUGAACUUUUACGGAAUCUCCUCCUACGCUGCAUGUGAAUUAUUAUUAAGGAAUUCAAAGCCUACUGCUCAAUAUCAAACAUGAUAUUUGCACAAAAUGAACAAAAUAGGGUUUGGCGUACCAUAAACAACUACAGUGCAUAUAGAGACAAAAAUCUAAGAAGGAAAACAUAUUCAUUGCUACGCAUAAAAUAUAUGAUAUAAACAAAAAGAAGACAGGAUAUCUUAAAGAAAUUUGGGUGAUGCAUUGUUAUGUGUCCAACCAUGUCCAUCCCAACCCUAACUGCACAAACAGGACAUACCUGCAUGAAGAAACAGAAGCCAGUUCUAAGCAACAAUAAGCUUGAAUGCAAAUAUGUAGACUUUAAAACAUAAACAGGCAAUGAUACUGCAAGUGGUUAUUUCCGGACCAAUGAUAAACAAAAAAAUAGGAAAGAAGUUAAAAAAAGAUUUUCUCGCAAUUCCCCAAAGAAAAUAAAGAAAGCGGAACAGACAAAACAAGCUAAAAAUGUCAUAUUGACAUCAAACAUGCAAUCACUUUAAACCAAAACAACCUUUAAAAAACCACUAGAUCAUACUAAAAAAGUUCCACAAUUUUACUUGCAUUUCUAGCAUGUAAGAUAAAUUAAAAUUUGAUGUGAUUCCAUACCUGAAAAUUUACACACCAAAAUGCCCAUGUAAUAAAUCAAGCAUCUAUGACCUUUCAUGCGCAACCACUAAUAUCUGAUUUGAUGCAUAUUGAAGAAGGUGAUAAUUAUGUUUUUUUUUUUUUUUGCUCAAGCCAUAGAAUAAGAUCAAAUGGAAUUUCACUUGCUUAAACUAAUAGAACUGUGCCUUUUUUCACAUAGUAAACAACAUACAGAGUUAAGAUAUCCAAUGCUCGACAAAUAAUUCCAGGUUGUCCAGAUUUACUUCUGAGCACCUAAAUCAACUCAAAAAUGCAUACCAGGAGCAGAAAAAAAAUCAUCAAAUAAUUUUGGCAACACCAACAAAUACUUUACUGCAUUGGUAUUGAAAACUGGCAUGAAACACAUGCUACAUGCAUCCAAAAGCACUGUGUUCUAUAAAUCAUCAGUCAAAAUAGAGAUGGAUUCUUGUUUUCUCCAUCUUAUUUACUUCCUAUUAUAUCCCUUCAUCACAGCCAUCCACGCUUUUCAUGUGCAUGGCACAUGAUAAACAACAGAUGCCUAAUGGGUGUUUUAUAUAUUAGUAAGAUCUAAAAGCAAAAAGGCAAAACAGAAAAAAUAGCAUUUCAGUGACCAAAGCAAAGGGAACUUAGUUUUUCUUGAUCCAAGAAAAAUCAUGUAUUAGUCUUUUACCCAACCACGGUUCACUAAAUGCCAACACUCUUUAAUUUAUAGCAGCAAUCUACAAGAUCUAAUUAAUAACAUUCCAAUUUCUAGUCUAAGUUGUCCCACCUUGCUCAUCCAGCAAGCUCUAAAAGCACAAUGGACAUCCUAGACCAUUACUAACAACAUACCAACAAUGCCUGCUUGUCUAUACAACUCCAAGCCAAUUGUCAAAGAUGUGGAAAAAGAUGACAGGAUCUACCAUACAUGCAUAUUAAAUUUCGAACUAAGCAAGCAAACAAAAUCCACGUUUACAUGAUGUUAUACAAGACUAGACUUGAAUUCAUAUUUUACAUUAGAACGUAGGCAAAAAGGGAAAAAAAAAAAUCUGAAUCUCAUUAAUUCUAGAGUAAGAAGACCAAAAUCAUUAUAUGCCAGUAUCAUAAUGAAGGGGAACAUCAGAAUCUACUCGUACUGACAACAUAAAGAAUUGCUUUCACUGAACAGUGAAUUGCACUUCAGCAUACAAUGUACUCACAUGAGAAAUCCUAAAUAAUCAAUUUAUCACGUAUGAGUGACAACUAAAAAUAUUAAAACCAUUUAGAACUAACCAAUAAGCUAUGUGACAAAUUUUAGCAUCACUGAGUAAUGAGUGAAGAAAAGCACCAAAAAUCCAACUAUUAAAUAAAUGCAAACAAGAGAUUCAGAAUCAGAUAAGGGGGCAAAACCUUUAAAAAGAAAAAGGAUCUGUGGAGUGUAUACCCUCCUAAAUAUACGAAAUUCACAAUUGUUAUUUGCAUGGUACCCUUAUAAAUUUGUGUGUUGGUAUUUCUGUUAUUUUAAUUUUAAACUGUUCAUUUCUCAAAAGCAUUACAUAGCAUGGGUACAUAUGCAAGAAAGAAAGAAAGAGAGAGUAUAUAUGCAAAACAAGUAUUUUAUGAGGAUAUACAAUGCAAAUAGCAACUUUGCGAGGAUAUUUAUAUAAUUUGGCAUAUUUAGGAGGGUAUACCCUAAGAAAACCCAAAAAACUGAACGCUUACUAAAUACCAGCUUCAGACACUUAAAAAUCCACUUUUUCCUUAAACUUAACGUUCAUCCGAUCAAGAAGAUGUUUCAUAAUCCAACUUUUCCCAGAAAAAACCCCAGAAAGUUCCCAAGUUUUAUCAAAUAUUUACACUAAAAUCCCCCAACAACCCUCUUUUUCGCUUCAUACAUGAAAACACAAGCAGUUCUGGUGCAUCUUGAAUUCUCAAAAGGGUCAGAAACGAGACGAUACCCCAUUUUUCGCCUCAACCGGGUGCUCAUCGUCGAUAUGGCAGAACAACCCCACGAUAUCAAAAUCCUCCGAGCAGAACGGACACGGAAACUCUGCUCUGGAAUCCUCAUCCCCUCCAUCGAUCUCCUCAUACCCACGGUACAAAUCUACAAACCAAAACACCCAAUCAAACCCCACUCUGAAAAAAAAAAAAAAAAAGGAACUCCGAACCCAGACAAUCGACAACCAGAUACUCAAUACUCACCGAAUCGGGAUUGGAGGACGGACUGAUGGCGCUUCGAGGCGGUGAAGAAACGGCUCCAGCAAUCAGCCUCCAUGGCUUCCUCCUCCCUCCGGUGUCGCCCCAAUUCAAGCUUCUAGUCCCCUGGAGAGCGAGUAAAAGCCCUGGAGACCAAGCAAGACAGCACCGAUCCCUCGUACCCUCGUAUAAAAUUCCCGAGGGCAAUAUAUAAGAGAGAGAGAGAGAGAGUUGCGAUUCCCUUCGGUAGAAAAAGGGGCGAAAGAGCUCGGCAAUUGCUUCCUGGGAAAGGCAAGGAGAGAAGAAGACGAGAGAGAGAGAGAGAGGCCACCGACCAGAAGGAUGGAGCAUUUAGAAAUAGAAUAAUCAGUCCCGGACGUUCUCCGAAGGAGGGGAAUGCUACCAGAUGCGUACACGUGGCGAGAUCCGGAAUCGUGGUGAGGAAUGCUCGCGGAUGUUCAAUGGAUAGCUGAUCCAAAGGGUGUGAUUCAGUUGGGUCGGAGCCGAGCGGGAAACGGGCAGUUAAGAUAGUACGCAUAAAUUUUAUGGUUGUGUUUUUAUGCGGGGAUCGAGAUCGGAACGAGAUGCAUCUACUGAGCGGUUUAGAUCAAAUCGGACGGUAGAGUUUACUUUUGCAUAGAUAUUAUCCACGAUAGCCGGUUUGCAGGGCAGUUUAUCUAUGCUUAGAUACGAACCCGAAAAGGAAGCGCAAGGAACGUCCGGGAAACGAUAGAGUGUUGUUUUCUUUGGUCCGCAGAGGGUUCCCAUGUACGUGUUUUCUCCAAAGAUUCAUUGUUGCGUGGAUGUAUGUUUGUGACCUUACAUUUGUGCAUUUAUUCAAGGAUAUUAGCUCAUAGGGUAAUCCGUCCUCAGCUGCUUUCGUAGCUCAGUUGGUUAGAGCACCCGUUUAGUAAGCGGGAGGUCUUGAGUUCGACUCUCAACGAAAGCAUCACCUUGUUCCUUCUUUUCUUUUGGUUCCAUGUAAUGUAAAUCUGAUUUAAUUUUGGACAGAGUAAUGCAAAAAACUUUCGUGUUAUGUUUUUGGUAUCUAUCACUUAAUUUAUGUAUCUAUCACUUAAUUUAUUUAGAAACCAUCAUACAAGGGGGGGAUACAGACUUUUCCUAAUUAAUAAAUCCUUUUCCUCCGAUAGAGCUUUUCUUCACAAUUUUUAUAUCCUUGACGUUUAACCCAAGCAUGUAAAAUUCGUAUGUAGGUAGAUAUUCUAUUUUAACCUGGUUUGCUGCUUCCCAUUCAUUGUGACUGCUAAUUGUUGAUUAAGCCAUACUUGAUUGAUGAAUUCGUGUUGAAUUUUUAGCGAAGGAAAAGAAAUCCUUGGUGGACUAGAUUCAUUAUUAUCUCUAUUUUUGAGAAAAUUAUUUUCAUACCCCAUACUUAAUUUCUUCUAAUAAAAUGGAUAUAAAUAGGGGAAAAGGUGGUUGUGUGUGUGAGAGAGAGAGAGAGAGUAGAUUCCGUAGAUUUUGGGUCAAAUUUCUAUUUCUUGUAGAUAUAAUAUCGAGGGCCCCUGCCUCUGCCAUUGUGUUCAGGUUUCUUGUUUUUUUUUUUUNNNNNNNNNNNNNNNNNNNNNNNNNNNNNNNNNNNNNNNNNNNNNNNNNNNNNNNNNNNNNNNNNNNNNNNNNNNNNNNNNNNNNNNNNNNNNNNNNNNNNNNNNNNNNNNNNNNNNNNNAGGUAGAUUCCAUAUAUUUUGGGUCAAAUUUCUAUUUCUUGUAGAUAUAAUGUUCAAGGGCCCUGCUUCUGCCAUUCUGUUUAGGUUGCUUGUAACAAUUCGCCCUGUCAAGUUUAUUUGAACUUAAAGGGCAUUGCCCCACCUCCUCUCUCUCUCUCUCUCUCUCACAGACGCACAAUGUCCAAUGGAUUAACCUUCUAUGUAUGCACUGCCCCACCUCUCUCUUUCUUAUCUCCAACCAUGGCUGAAGGGUUUUCUUUCUAGCUUUGUUCUAACCAAGAAAAUACAUAUACAUACAUGUAUGUAUGUAUGUAUUUAUAGGAACAUGUGAACCUGUUGGACAAAUCUAACAGAGGGCUUGACUUUGAUAUGGAAGUGAUGGAUACAAUUUGAAAGUCAUGCAAGAUCUUAUGUGGGUAUUCAUUUCUAUAUGACUUCUUAGAGCUAGAAGGCUCCAUGUGGAUGUUCCUGUCUGUCCCUUCUAUGAGUGACCUUAACAUAAAGCCAUAUUCACACAGCAAGAACAGUAAGGACGGUAGACUGGAUACAAACCAAUUCAAUGUCUCUGUCCGAAUCGUCCAUCUACAAAUGUGCAAAUUGAAGACUUCAUAAUCAUAAACUGAGCUUUCAAUUUUAUAACAUUCACCAAUGGUCGGUUAAUUACCAAGAAUCUAAAAUAUGAAAUAACAAGAUCUUACUAGGAAUAAUACUUGAUCCACAUAGAUUAUAUACAAAAUUAAUAUUCUAGUUAUGGUCAAUAAAUAAACUCCCCCAAAGAGAAAGCCAAUAAGAGUCGUAUCAACAGUACUAAAAUUUCCAUGAUAAUAAAGCUAAUUUCUCAAUUUUUAGGGGUCAUUGUGGCAUGUAAGUGUAGAACUAUUUAACAAGUGAUGUUGUAAAGCAUUACUCAUUUUUUAAGACUUUUUUGUAGUAUAUUCCACAAAUCGUGCUUACAGAUAUUUGUGCUUUGUGUUUUUCGGUACAUCAAUAUUUGUGCUCUCUAGAGGACAUAAAGCAGUGGUUGUAAUUCAAAAAUGCCAGUAGAAUUUGCCUCUAGGUUCAGACAAGUUUUCUUAUCCUCCAAUGUGCAUCUCCUAUGCAGAUUACUUUUAAGCAUUUGGGCUGGGUUAUCCAUCAAACUUCUCAGAGCUAUAGAGCUUUGCCAAAAAUCUCAUAUAUAACAGUAAAGCAAGGCUGUAAAGAAGCAUAGUACAAUAAUGGGCUACUACAUUAAAAGAGCCGUUAAUGUGCAAAAAAAUGUUGGAGUUUAAGAAACGUAACAGCUCUUUACUGUGAGAUCUUUGAACCGGAUCACAGGGAAAAAAUUGUUUCUAAGAAUCAUCAAUGUAUGAAUUUGAGAACUUGAAUAAAGGAGCUAAAGAGCUUCUUGAACGGCAACUCCCACUAAUUAAGUCAUGGAUACUGUUUUUUCUUGUAAUUAGGAUAUUUUUGGAGUAUAAUGGAUUGCUUCUUCACCAUGGUUGCAACUAAUCCUCAUUUCAAACUAAGAACCUGUACGAUAGGUUCAUCCAAAGGCCACUACUUCACAUCAAAAUAGCCUACUAACCACCUAGCAUUUUACGUGCAAGAGCUGGAAGUGGACUUGUUCACUCAGGCAAAGGCCCAUCUAGAUCCAAUUUUAUGGUGCAAGAGACAUUCAAAUAUUCUUGUAUGUGCAUGAGCCUUUAAUUAUCCUGGUCUUAAUAAGUACCAAAAAUGAGUCCUCACCAUCAUCCUGUCCCAAUAAGGAAUAGGAUUAUGCCAAUUUGCACAUCAAACAGGCACAAUCAAACUGCACAUUGUCAAGCAUGAGCAGUGCAUCAGUGUUGUAGAUAAUUCGGUCGAGCAAUAUAAAAAUUUAUCACGACAACAUGUAGCCCUAUACCAUAGAGUUUCACUCCAAGCAAAGAGCUCACAAAUGAGCAUCAUGAGAAAUGUGACCAAGUCAGAUGUGACAAAGUUGCUUCUUAAAUUAGACCUUGAUUAGGAGUGGUGAUGCAACAUAUGAAGUGCACUUUAAAGCAUUGACAAAACUCUUGAACUCGUAGCUCGUGAAAUGGUACUGAUGAUUUCUUUCUCUGUGAAAUAUAGUUUCAAGACCUCUAUUAAGUCUUUGGUGUGGUGAUCACAAAACACCAUCAAAGCAAUAUCUGAAAUUUUUCCGAUUAUGUCUUUAGUUGGUCAAACCAACAUGCUAACUUUGCAUACUCUUUACUAAGUUUGCUGACCGACAAGCAAUAGAAUUUGUUUCAUAGUGAACAUGAGAAACCUUGACUGGCAGGUAUUACCAUACUAGUUAGGAACUGGUAGUUGGUGGUACUUUGUACUUAUAUCUUAGUAGCUUCCAUUCCAUCAUUCUUCAAAACUCAAUCUAAUCUUGGGUAAUGGAGGAAAGUUGGCUAGUUUUUACAAUGUAUUAUGCGGUAUAGUUCCCAAAAAUAGGAACUUUAAUUAGUUAGUUGUUUAUUUGGUUUCAAAUUUUCUCUAAGUGACAUGUAUUUUAACUUGUAAAGGCCGCACAGAAGAUUUUGAACCGAUAUCGCAUCUUUAGACAUUAACAAUUCUAAUAAUCCAAGUUGAUAAUUCUCUUUCUAAAAAAUAUUUUGCCAUUAAAGAUAAGUAAGCAUGAACCAUCUUUUUUUAUCUUUUUUUAUGUAGUUUUUUUUUUAGGUCUUGGAUCCAUCCAACCAAGCCCAGUCCCUCGUAGGCAAGAUUCAAAAUUCUAGAAAAUCAGAACAUUUUAUGAAUUGUUGGAACUCUUCUACAACUUCUUCUGUUAUGCAAGACAUACAUGCAACAUAAACCCUAGCCCUCAUGAUUGCCCUUUAUUGCCCGCGUCUAAAUUUAAAAUUUCAAUAAAUGUAGUUACCGUUGCCAGCAUUCCACAGCCGUUGGAUUCCCAUCCGAUGGACCGUCCGGACUAGUCGACCGUUGGGUUUCGAACUCCUCGUCGCUGCCCUUUUCGCUGCCAGGAGGUCAAAUCCGACCGUUAGGAGAUGACAAUUUGAAUCCCAUCUUCUCCCUAACGGUUCCAAACUUUCAAAAGCUUCUCAGGAUCUCUAACCUCUCUCCUCUCAUCCUUGAGGCUUUCUUGGCAUCUGGGUCCCCAUCCAUUUGUUCAAAUAUCUCGUUUCGUCUGUUCUUCCGAUUGUCCAAAAACUUCCUUGGAUUCUAGCCUUCCCUUAUAUUCUUUUCCCCAUCUAGAAUUUGUGUUAUCUUGCUUGAUUCCUGAGGAACGCACCGAAGGAAGAGGGAGGAGGACAGAGGUUGCCAAAAGAAAUGGCUCGGAGGGCUUCAUCUCCCGCUUCGCCGGUGACCAUAAUGGUCUCUUCUGGAGGAAAGGGAGCAGGGGAUGGGGCUGUCAGGAGGAGCAUGGGCUUGACAAGUCCAGUCCCACGCCAUUCCCUCUCCAACAACCCAAAUUCUCCAGCGGCCGCAAGGCCGACCAGCCAGGUAUCGAGCGGCGGUGGUGCGAGGUACUUUUCCACAUCCAAGGAUGAGAUCGAAGAGGUGAGCUCUGAAUUCGUCCGGUACACGGUCCACAUACCCCCAACACCCGACCACCCUGUGGCCCCGCCAUCGGAGUCUCAACCUCAAAGGAGUUAUAUCUCUGGCACCAUCUUUACCGGUGGGUUCAAUUGCGUGACCCGCGGUCAUGUCAUGGAGUGCUCAGCCGAUAGCCCCCCGACGGCGAAGUCUGAAGGAAUGCUGUGCAAGAUGAAGGGCUGCGACGGUGCCGCAUUUCUACAUGGCUCAAAGUUGCCGUGUGAGUGUGGCUUUGUGAUCUGCAAGGACUGCUAUUUGGAGUGCAUUGGGAGUGGAGGGCAGUGUCCAGGGUGCAAGGAGACCUACAGAAGUUUGAGCGAUGAGGACUCGGGGUCAGAGGCCGAGGAGCAAGCCCUACCGCUGACAUCGAUGGUGGAUUUCAGAGGGGGAAGAAGGCUUUCGAUGAUAAAAUCAACCAAAGCCCCAAAUCAGCCAGCUGAUUUUGACCAUAACCGCUGGCUUUUUGAGACAAAAGGGACAUAUGGGUAUGGGAAUGCUGUCUGGCCCAAGGAUGGGCAUGGUGGUGGAGCAGGAUUCAAGGGGUUCGAAGAGCCACCCAACUUUGGAGUAAGAAGUCGGAGGCCAUUGACGAGGAAGGUUGGGGUAUCUCAAGCAAUUCUCAGCCCAUACAGGUAAAAACCUUAGUUUUAAAGCAGAUUUUGUGAUUAAAAUUAGCUGUUACUUUUGAACUGUUCUGCUUUAAAUAAAUGGAAUAGGAAUUGUUAGUUGAAUUGAAUAUUUCGUCUUUCUUGAAUGCAUUAUUUCAUGUCAUAUGUGGGUUAUUCUAAUUAGGCAGUGGAAAUCAUUCUUUCGUAAGAAACUGUUGUAAUGUGUUCCUAUAUUUGAUGGACAGCAUCAACUUGGUGAAAAUUUGAAGGAUUAACUAUAACCUGAUACCUAAUAUAACCUAAUUUGUCUGAUUAAAUUGAGUUGCUCUGUAACUCAACCCAGAUGCAACAGCUGGUGUUUGAGAAUAUACAGCAUCAACUUAAAGAGAAUAAAAGGAGGUGAUAAUGGGGCUUAUAUUUUUAUAUUCCACGUAACCUUGCUGUAGAUUAACCUGGGAGACACUCGUUGUCGGUCAAAUUUCUGAGAACCCGGAUCUAUUAAUAAUCCUGUUGAAUCUUUAUACUUUGCUACGGUGUAUUUGGGCUUAAUGAUGAGCUCUGUCAUGAUUUAGUGCCUUGCUAUGAGGAUUUUCGGGAGCAAAGACCACUCAUCGUUUCUUGCUUUCAUCAGAAAGCCAUUCUUUAAUCCUAUAUAUAUUUUUGGGAAGGAAACAUUGUAAGCUUAUUAUAAAUAAGCUGAUUCCUAUUUCUUCGGUCAUAAUAUAAUAGAAUUUUCCACUGUAUUCAAGUGUCCGAAAAGUUUGCUCUUUUAUCCUACUACGUUCUACUUGUUACUUCUUUGGAUCCUCCAGUACAUUCUCAAAAGAAAUUGCCGUGGUUUUCUAUUCUUAUCCUCUUUCAAAAUUAUAUGCAUUUAUCAUAUGUAUGCUGUUAGUUUGGAGUGCCAUACAAACUUCAAGUAUCCAUUUAGUUGUUAAUUUCUUAUACAUUCUCUUGCAAUGCAAACAAGAAGAAAGAUAUCUUUGAUACCAUCUGAAAUGUUGUUGUUUUGAAAAAUGAGCUAACCUUUUUAGAACUUUCAACUUUCUCAGGUUGCUGAUGAUUAUUCGCCUUAUCGCCCUUGGCUUCUUUCUCGCUUGGAGGGUUCGACAUCCUAACCAUGAAGCAAUGUGGCUCUGGGGAAUGUCCGUAGCCUGCGAGCUUUGGUUUGCAUUCUCAUGGCUUCUUGACCAAUUCCCCAAGCUCAGCCCUGUUAACAGAGCAACAGACCUCUCCGUUCUGAAAGAGCGCUUUGAAUCGCCGAGCGUUCGGAACCCCAAAGGUCGAUCUGAUCUACCAGGUAUUGAUGUAUUUGUCUCCACUGCAGACCCAGAAAAAGAACCCCCUCUUGUCACUGCGAACACCAUCCUCUCCAUUCUUGCAGUAGAUUACCCUGUUGAGAAGCUAGCUUGCUACCUAUCCGAUGAUGGAGGAUCGCUUCUGACCUUCGAGGCUCUAGCUGAGACUGCAAGCUUUGCAAGGAUUUGGGUCCCCUUCUGCCGAAAACAUGACAUAGAGCCAAGAAAUCCGGAUGCCUAUUUCAGUCAGAAGCGCGACCCUCUUAAGAACAAAGUCCGGCUAGAUUUUGUUAGAGAGAGGAGGAAGGUUAAAAGAGAGUAUGAUGAAUUCAAGGUGAGGAUAAAUUCUUUGCCUGAAUCCAUUAGGAGGAGAUCCGAUGCAUACAAUGCCCAUGACGAGUUACGGGCUAAGAAGAAGCAGGAGGAAAUGGGGAGCAACCUUUCUGAACCUAUUAAGGUUGUGAAAGCUACUUGGAUGUCUGAUGGGUCACAUUGGCCUGGGACUUGGUUCUCUCCUGAAACUGAUCAUUCUAGAGGUGAUCAUGCUGGUAUAAUUCAGGUAUCCUCUCUCUUCUUGUUACUUUUAAUUGAGUAAAAUAUCAUUCUAUUGAGUUUUGCAUGCAUAGAGAAACUGAAAAUCAAAGUAUUAAGGGAUCUUACUUCAUGUUAUCUUUCACAGGCAAUGCUCGCUCCUCCGAACUCGGAACCAGUCAUGGGCACCGAGGCAAAUGAGCAUAAUCUCAUUGAUACUACUGGUGUGGACAUCAGACUGCCAAUGCUAGUCUACGUCUCUCGCGAGAAACGGCCUGGAUAUGAUCACAACAAAAAGGCUGGUGCUAUGAAUGCUCUCGUUAGAACCAGUGGUAUAAUGUCGAAUGGCCCCUUCAUUCUGAAUCUGGACUGUGAUCACUACAUCCACAAUUCCUUGGCUCUCAGAGAAGGGAUGUGCUUCAUGCUUGAUAGAGGUGGUGACAGGAUAUGUUAUGUUCAAUUCCCUCAGAGGUUUGAAGGGAUUGAUCCAAGCGACAGGUAUGCAAACCACAACUUGGUGUUUUUUGACGUCACCAUGAGGGCCAUGGAUGGAUUGCAGGGUCCGAUGUACGUUGGAACUGGCUGUAUCUUUCGGAGAACUGCUCUUUAUGGAUUUAGUCCUCCUCGUGCCACCGAACACCAUGGGUGGUUUGGAAGGAAGAAGAUUAAGCUUUUUCUAAGGAAACCAACAAUGGGGAAGAAGAGCGACCGAGAGAAUGAAAUCAUGCAGCCACCUGUAGGGGAUGAAGGGAAUGACGAAGGGGACAUUGAAUCAUCACUCCUGCCUAAGAGGUUUGGGAACUCAGCUACUUUAGUAGCUUCCAUCCCAGUUGCAGAGUACCAAGGAAGACUACUUCAAGACCUGCCUGGCGUUCGACAAGGCCGCCCUGCAGGUUCUCUUGCCGUCCCUCGAGAGCCAUUGGAUGCUGCAACUGUUGCUGAGGCAAUCAAUGUUAUAUCCUGCUACUAUGAAGACAAAACUGAAUGGGGUCAGCGAGUAGGGUGGAUUUAUGGCUCUGUGACUGAAGAUGUGGUGACUGGUUAUCGGAUGCACAACAGAGGUUGGCGGUCGGUCUACUGCGUCACCAAGCGGGAUGCCUUCAGAGGGACAGCCCCCAUCAAUCUGACAGACCGUCUGCACCAAGUCCUCCGGUGGGCUACAGGUUCUGUCGAGAUCUUCUUCUCUCGAAACAAUGCGCUCUUUGCCACAAGGAGGAUGAAGCUCUUGCAGAGGGUGGCCUAUUUCAAUGUGGGAAUGUAUCCCUUCACAUCGAUCUUUCUACUGGUAUACUGCAUCCUACCAGCUGUUUCUCUCUUCUCAGGCCAAUUCAUAGUUCAAACUCUAAGCAUAACUUUUCUGAUAUUCCUGCUGGCCAUUACUAUAACACUCUGCUUGCUUGCAUUGCUGGAGAUAAAAUGGUCUGGGAUAACAUUGCAUGAGUGGUGGAGGAAUGAGCAGUUCUGGUUGAUUGGAGGGACUAGUGCUCACCCAGCAGCAGUGCUACAAGGGUUGCUGAAGGUUAUUGCCGGAGUUGAUAUUUCUUUUACUCUAACAUCAAAGUCUGCAACCGAUGACAAUGACGAGGUGUAUGCGGAGCUCUACGAGGUCAAGUGGAGCUUCCUGAUGGUUCCCCCAAUCACAAUUAUGAUGAUCAACAUGAUAGCUAUCGCAGUAGGGGUGGCAAGGACGAUGUACAGUGAAUUCCCUCAGUGGAGCAAGCUCCUUGGAGGGGUGUUCUUUAGCUUCUGGGUGCUGUGCCAUCUUUACCCAUUUGCUAAAGGGUUGAUGGGAAGGAGGGGAAAGGUGCCAACAAUUGUGUUCAUGUGGUCGGGCCUGCUCUCGAUCGUCAUCUCUUUGCUUUGGGUGUACAUUAGCCCUCCUAAAGGAAGUGGGAAGGACUACAUGAACUUCCAGUUCCCAUGAGGAGAACAGAAGGCAGCAGGAGAAUUCAUUAAAUUGUUCCAAAUCCAUGAAAGGACCAUGUAUACUUCAUUGCUCAAGUCCCAUCCCGAGUAGAAGUUUUACAUAUAUACAUGAUGAUCUAGUUCAUGUAAUGUUGCUCAUACUUCUUUGUGUAUCUUGUUAGUUUCUAUUAAUUUUCUUCUUGGUUUGUUUCAAAUGUCUUAAAAUUUUUGUUCUUCUAUGAUGGAAUUUUUAAGCAUCUUGAAAAUGAAAACUAUGCAGUGUCCAUUUUCCUUGUGUUUGAUUAAUUCAUCUUCUUGAAAUUAGUUGGCAUGAGUGACAAGUUUGAAUAGGCCAUGAAAAGAAGAUUUCUGGAUGCAUGAAGUUGCUCAGUUGGAUGGUGCCAAGUUGGGACCUCAAAUCACACAAUUCUGUGAACAGCACCUCUUCUGGUGAUUUUGAUAAUGUGUAGCUCCCGUGUCCAACAUCCCACCUUUCAAGCCUUGCAGCUGAGUUGUUUAUCCUACAAAAGCCUAUGAACACUGUUCUCAAUGAUCUGCAUGUUGCCAAGAUGUUGGGUGGUCACGGUGUCCUUGUGAUAUCUCCUGCGUUGUAGGAAUCGACUGAGCACAAGGGAUUGGAAAAGGGCCAUCGUCCUCACAAUCCCAUGACUUCAUUUGGGCGACAUGCAUAACUGCAGUUCAUACCAGAAGUAAUACAUCUGUCAUUCAGAGUGUGAGAGUUGGUGGUGUCCUCUAUGCAGAUCCUUCAUGACUUGCCUUUUACUUAAUCAAACAAAUAUCAUUUAGAUCGACACUUCAUUUAUUGUGUGUCUUGUUAUUAAUCUAAUUCAUGCUUUCCUGAGAGUGCCAUGAUCUUCGAAGUGCAAAUCCACAGCAGUGUUUGCUGUGAUGUCGUGUGGUUCGCAUUAAUCCACUUAUAUUGUGCAUCAAGUUCACAUUCAUAAAUUUCUACAUGGCAUCAAGCACAAAUUCAUAUAAUUCCGCAUUGCAUCAAGUAAAUCCAAGAUGAUGCACAAUUGCACAACUUGAAGAGUGGCAAAUGAGAUGCUCAUAUAAAAAUAUGACCAUCGAACCGUCCCAAACCAAGCUAAGUGGUUACCAGGGCAGUUCAACUUGUCGAUCUUCCUCUCUCUCUCUCUCUCUCUCACUCUCUUAAUUUUUUUUAAUAAAAGUCUCUCCACCUUCACUUGGUGUGAGAGAAAUUCUUGGAUAAAUUUAGCCUGCUAGAUAAAGCCAAUGAAAAAUGCCACAUUAGUAUUUUGUAUUUAAGAAUUUUAUAAUCACAUCAAUACAUCAUUGUUUAACCUUGUAACCAUCUUAAUAUAUUAUUGUUUAACCACUCAAUACACCGUUGUAUGCUAUUGUGGCAUUUUUUCGUUGGAUUUGUCUAUAGCAUAUGUAGUAAACCAAGUCUACCUAAAAAUUUCUCCAGGCUCUCGAUCCCUUCCCCCCCUUCCCUCCACCAUCGCGGCCACCAUCUAGUCUCCACCACCUCCAACCCGGUGUUCCCCUUAGAUUGGCACCUCUGUCAGAUUAGGUGAGUCCCCUUUUUCUCUCCUCCCUCUCUCUCCUUCUCUUUGGUUUCCUUAUGUAUUGGGUUGGCACAGUAUGUACUGCUAUCAUGCUAAACCAUUCCUCGGCUAGUAAAAUCUAGGAUACUAGUUUACUAAAGUUUUUGUACAACGAAGGGAGAGAAUAAGAGAGAAGAGAAGAUGUUCCAUCAUGUCCUCCGCAUUAUCCCAUUGCUCUAAAAUGCUCUCUUCCGAGCAACAACAUUUUCUGCCUUUCUAAAGAGCAAAAAAAUUGAUCGCAUCUUCCGAACUCCCUCGAUCAUGGCAUCCUCACUUUUUCGUUCUCCUUUUUACGUAACAAACCACAAGAAUAGAUACAGAAAUAAAAGAAACUCAUGAAUGGGUAUUGCAUUUUGUUACCACCAGUCCCUCCAUUCCCCAGCGAAUCUAUAUAUUUUGGGUCAUGACAAAACCAUCGAUGGGAAGUAUCUCAACAACCCCAAGUUCAAGUAAGAAAUUGCUACUCACUCUUCAUCUUCACCUAGCUCAAUUUUGUCAUCAUUAUCAUUUUUUUUUAAUUUCUCUUAUUUAUUUCAUCCCAUCAUUGGUAGAUUCUUCAUGCAUGGGAAACUUCGUAUUUAAGGAUUGUAGUUUAAAUUCGGCGGGCUUGCUUCUUUGUUCCAUAACACGGAUUUUUGAAUCCCGAAAAGAGGUGACAAGACAAAUCUAGUAGAAGUACGAAAGUUCAGAUAUUAAAAUAAGAGAGAUUAUUUCCCCAAGCCAAAAGGGGUCGAUCGAAGGCGUUCUUACAAAUAUAUACAAUUAAUGAAAAUGCAGCGUAAAUCUUUCCCCAAGCCAAAAAAAAAAAAAAACUCUCUAAAACUUUUGAACCCCCGUUUUCAAGGGAUAAAAAAAUUUUAGAAAAAUGAAAAUAAAGUCGGAAGAACAACAGGACGAGGACGCGAUUGAUGCAUUCGAGCAACGUUCUUCGCACCGAAGUGCUUCUUGGCCCUUGGCGCUCCUCCGCUACCACCUCUCACCCGUGACCAAACGACCCGGUUUAUCACUCGCAUGCAGGAAUCCUUGAUCCGAAUCGCCAUCCCCCGGCACUGCCCCCCGCCUCCCAACUUCACCCACCGGUAUUUUCUCUUCCGGUUUCGUUGUUGGAAAUGCGGGCCGUUGGAGCCCUUAUCGGCACCCCUCGCCCGCCAGUACCCCUGUAGGCCUCCUCUUCCCCUGCCAACGCCGCCACCGCCACCGGUUCGGACCUCCAUCUCGCCAGUGGACUACUCCUCACGUCCGAGGUGGUGGUAGCAGAGAUAGGGAGAGAUGGAGUGGCAUGCAACCGGAUUGGAGGGAAGGGAGAGUAUUUAUAGGGGGAGGAAGAAGGGGAUUCCCUCCCCCCCCCCUCCUUUUUUUCAGGGAGUUGCCAUUUAUUCUUUUCCAUGCAAUGUUGGCCUCUCCUUUGUUCCCUCAUUAUUUGCAGGUACACUUUCCACUUCUUUAUGAACUUUCUAAUGUCAUUAUAAUGGUCAAUAAUAAUCUUUCAAAGUUUUCUUGUUAUGUACAUGAUGUGCAAAUUGGUGGAGAAUUUUUUCCAUAAUGUGUGGUCCAUAGGUACCUAUAGUUUCUGUCAUAGUUACUUUAUUUUCUAUUUUGGUCAAAAUAAAAGGCCAUGAAUUAGAAUAUCUAUUUGCCAUAAAAGUGUCUUUGUAGAUAAAUUUGCCCUAUUUAAUGUUUAAAAGGAAUUGUUUCAAAAAUGCUAUGUGUUUAUAACAAAUUGUCGAAAAUCAAAUCUCAAUAGUAAGAGGGAGUUCUUCCAACUAUGGAUAAUCAUAUAAUGACAAUACAAAGUUAUAAAAUGACAAAAUAAAGAAACGUAAUUGCAACCAUGAUAAAAAGUUAAUCAAAUUUCGCAUCAAACAUAGUACUCUUUCAAGAAUGGAAAAAUGCUAUGAUUGGAAGGUGAUUUAGCUUGUUUCCAGCAAUAUUGUCUCAGCAUUAUGUUAUUGAGAGGAGAUGAAUCGCAAAUGCAAUCGAUUGUGAGCCACCCAUUGCUAAUAGAAGUGAAUAUCAAAUUUCAGUUUAUGGUAUCGGACAUAAUGCCUGAACCUUCUAUUUUUUUCACGACUCCAAUUUUCUUUUCAAUACCAUGACCCACAGAAUAUGCCUCUAUUUUUUUGUUUUCCUCUUAGGAAUGCAGGAUUUAGUUUGAUUGUAUACAUCGUAAAUUUCUUUUUUUUUUUUCUUUUGUUUCUAGAAAUAGAAAAAUAGUAUUGGGAUAAAGAAAUUAGAAGUUUGCUGCAUUUUUAUUAUUUUUAAUAGAAACAGCUUCCAAAAUUUGGAAGUUCCAAAAAUCAGCUUUUGGGGAAAAAAAAGGCAACACAAUAAAACAGGCACAUUUGUAUUAGAUUGUUGCGUCUAUGUAUGAGUACCUGGCUUAUAGAGAUAAUGAGUUCCAUAUCAGGUUAUCUCUAGAGUUGAUCUUUCUUUUAUUUUUACAAUCUAUUAGAGUGAUCAAUUGCCCAAAUACUAAACAAAAAAAUGAUUUAAUUCCAUUUUGAAAUAAAGUUUGUGAAUAAAGCUAAUUGUGGGCAGAAAUUGGAUGCACCAGCUCCAAGUGAACCGGGGAAAUCUUGGAGCACAUGCAUGCCAAAUAGCUUGCAAUCGAGAAUCGGUAAAAUACAAUGGUUAACGUGGCUUGUUAUCCAACCUGGGAUUUGGCAUGGUCCAAUUACAGCUGAUGCACAUGAUAUGUAGAUCAUUUUUUUUGAAGGGAUGGAAAAUAGCAUAAUUUUUUUUCAAAAAUAAGUGGUGGACAUGAGAAUAAGUAUUAAUCAAAUGGAUCAAAAAAAUAUAAUCAAUUUUUAUAUGAGAAAUGGGCUCAAAUCCAAAUUAAAUCACUUUAAAUAUUGUGUUCAGUCUGAUUCAAAUCUCUAAUAGAUAAUACAUAGAGAUAUUACUAAAAUCCGAUAAUGCUAAUUUCAUCCAACAAGAUGAAAAUGCCUCAAUUAACUCUAUGGGCCAGUGCUAAUAUAAAUACAAGACACCUCUACAUGAGCCAUAUUAAAAUUGUGAAGAUGAAUCUAACUAAGCUUAAGUAAGGAUAUAUCUUAUCCUUAUGAAUAUAACUAUGUAACUUAAUUGUAAAUGAACCAUAAAAUUAAAGAGAAUAUAAAAAUUUUAUUUUUGUCAAUUCUUGUAUCUUUUUCUCUUUUCCUAAUUGGAUCAUAGGAUUCCUUUAGCAAAAAGUUAGAUGCCUCAUUUGCUCUAUAUCUUAUAUAAAUCUAUGUUAUGAUAGUGGAUUAAAUGUCAUAAUUUUUUCUAUAGAGGUAGAAUAUAAUUUUUCAUAUAGUGGAUUAAAAAUUACACUAUAGAGGUAAAAUAUAUUUUUUUAUUUUNNNNNNNNNNNNNNNNNNNNNNNNNNNNNNNNNNNNNNNNNNNNNNNNNNNNNNNNNNNNNNNNNNNNNNNNNNNNNNNNNNNNNNNNNNNNNNNNNNNNNNNNNNNNNNNNNNNNNNNNNNNNNNNNNNNNNNNNNNNNNNNNNNNNNNNNNNNNNNNNNNNNNNNNNNNNNNNNNNNNNNNNNNNNNNNNNNNNNNNNNNNNNNNNNNNNNNNNNNNNNNNNNNNNNNNNNNNNNNNNNNNNNNNNNNNNNNNNNNNNAUCAUUAGAAUAUCGUCAUAAAAGAUCAUUUCGAUCCGGCAGCCCUAGGUAUGUCGAUUAUUAAAAUUUGAUUUUGACGGUCACGAGCGAUCAUGUGAUGAUCUGAUAGAUAGAGACCAUCGAUGGAUCCAAAAACUUGCAACGAUGAUCUCGAUGAUAUUUGUAUUACACUAUCAAAAUUUUACUUCAAUCAGACAACAUUAUCAUGAUCAAUUUAGCACGGGAUAAUUAGAGCUGUUAAAUAAAAAAUGAGUAAUCAAAAGAUCAAACGGCAUCUGAUUAUAGGAUAAUUUUUUAGAUAAAUGAUCUUUGCUAUUACUUUGAUCAUUUGAUGAUCGUAAAAUUCAAACCGUGCAUAUAUAAAUGAUUCAAAACUAUAUGUCUCUUGAUUCUCAUUUUUAAAGUCUUUAAGUAAUUAUACUUAUACUUUUGUAAGAUUUGCUUAACAUGAAUGAUCCAUAUAUGUGCAGUUUGAAUUUUAUGAUUAUCAUCAUACAAAUGAUCAAAGUAGUAGUAAAGAUCAUUUAUCUAAAAAAUCAUCUUAAUUGAAUGUCGUUUAGUCUUUUGAUCACUCAUUUUUUAUUUAACGACAGAAAUCAUUCCGUAUUAAUUGAUCAUGAUAAUGAUAUCCGAUUAAAAUAAAAUUUUUAUAGUAUACUACAAAUAUUACUAACAUUGUUGUAAUCUAUCGAUGGUCUCUAUCUUUUAGAUCAUCACAUAGUCAUUCAUGACCGUCGAAAUUAAAUUUUAUUGAUCGACAUAGUUAGAGCUAACGGAUUGAGGUGAUCUUCUGUAACAAUACUCUAACGAUAAUUAUUUAGAUAAUGAACGGUGAAGAUGGACAUUAAAUUCUAAAAUUAUACUAUAAAGAUNNNNNNNNNNNNNNNNNNNNCUAACGGUAUGAGGUGAUCUUCUGUAACAAUACUCUAACGAUAAUUAUUUAGAUAAUGAACGGUGAAGAUGGACAUUAAAUUCUAAAAUUAUACUAUAAAGAUAAUUUUUUUCUAUUUUUCUCUGAAUAUAAUAUAAUUUUAGAAUUUAAAGCUCAUGUUCACCGUUCAUUAUCUAAAUAAUUAUCGUUAGAGCAUCGUCACAAAAGAUCGCCUCGAUCCGAUAGCCCUAGGUAUAUCGAUCAUUAAAAUUUGAUUUUGAUGGCCACGAACGGCCGUGUGAUGAUCCUCAUUUGCUUUGUGUUUUAUAUGAAUGCAUGUUAUGAUAGUAGGUUAAAUGCCUCAAUUUUUCAUAUCGUCACUAUUAUGUCGUCACUAAUACUCUCAAUUCUUAUAGUGCCUACAAGUCACAUUUGCUUGAUACUAAAUUUCAAUAUCACUUAAAGAUUUCUAAGGAAAAAUUUUUCUUUAAUAUAAUUUUUUUAAUUUAAAAAAAUCUUAACAGCACCAAGGGAUUCAUCCCUUAGUAAAUCUUUAAGGGAUAACUUUUCUUACAAAUCUCUCGAUGAAAAUUAUUGAAGUAAUCACUUACUGAUCCCUUGCAAACUACCGAGACAUUUCUAAGGGAUUUACUGAGGGCAAUAAAUCCUCGCAACUCGCUUAAAGAUUUCUCAAUGAAACUAGAUUUUGAAAGCAACUUAACAUCCCUUGAAAAUUCCUUUCUAAUCCCUCAGUGAUUUUCUGAGGGAUAGAUCCCUUGAUGAUAUCUCUCGCUAAAAGGCUGAUUUUUGAUAGUGAAAAUUGUGUUCAUAUCCAUCCAAUGAUCUUUUUAAUAUAACUUUAGUAUGACUUUAUUUAUUUGAUAAUUAAAUAUGAAUAGUAUUUGACAAAUAAUUGAUAAAGUUAUGAAGAAUAAUUCAAAUGAGGAUUAUGGUGGAUAUUGGGCCUCCUCAAAGCAGUGGCUAAUCUAGAAUUAAAAGUUCUGAUAUGGUUUUGACCAAAUUGGAUGGUAAGGAAGAAAUUUGCAGCCAAAAAGUAUUAAAAAAGAAAUUUGCAACUAAAAGGCUUGCUUGCCUUAACUAUGAAAAUAUACUUAUAUACACUUUGUAUGAGAUCAACAUCCCUACAUCAAAAGGAUCAUCAAAGAAAUGAUAUGAUUCAUAUAAUAAAAGUAUCUAUAAAUAUAUAUAUAUAGUUAGCAAAAUUAGGAAAUGAUUUCCAUCACAUGCGAUUGGUCAUGUCCACCAAAUCUAGUUAUAUGGUUGGCUGAGGAAAUCAAAGAAUGAUUUUCAUGAUAUAUGAUUAUGUAGCUACGUAUCUCUAUCUAAUUUGGUGCCAAAAGAAUCAUGGUAUGAUUUCUAUUAUAGCUAUCAAGAUCUAUCUAAUCUAAUGCCAAGAGAAUCAAAAUUUGAUUCCCAUCACUCUCCCUCAAAUUAGUGUGUGGAGGUCUAUAAUGCCCAACUUGCCAACAACAAGAUGGAAUACUUCUUUACUAGGGGUGAAAGUAGUUUGGAUAUUAUCCGUCCGAAUCUAUUUUCGUAUCCGAAUAAUCCAGAUAUAGAUAAAAUUUAAGGAUCUGACUAAUAUCUGUAUCUGUAUUCAAAUAUCUAAAUUAAAAUAUAAUUCUAUAUAAUUUUAUAUAGUAUUUACUGAUUUUUAAGAAAAAAUACAAUCAUAUAAAUAUAUUAUUAAUUUGAUUCAUCAUUUAUUUAGUAAUAUCUUUGAUUCUGUUGUUAUAAAGUUAGAUUAUCUAAGUUAUAUCUGUAAUUAUAUCCAUACUUUCAGUAUCCGUAUCCGUUUAAAAUAAAUAUGGAUAUGAAUUUUUGCAUUUGAAUAAUAUUUGUAUCUAUAUUUGUAUUCAUCAGAAAAAAUAAUAUGGAUAUGGAUAUAGUGGUAUCCGAACCAUAUCCGAUCCAGUUUCAACCCUAUUCUCUAUCGAAGACUUUGGUGAAAACAUGGGCUAACUGGUGAGUGAAAAUAAACUUCGUAUGGAGUAGGUUACGCUGAAUUUUCUCAUGGAUGAAAUGACAAUUCAAUUUGAUGUACUUCAUGCAUUUAUAGAAUAUGAGAUCGGCAGCAAUAUAAAAAGCAGUUUUAUCAUUGUAGUAUAAUAGAAUAGAUGUAGAAUACGUGAAACCUAGAUCAUAGGGCAAGUAUUUUAAUCAUUGCAUCUUAUAGGCCCUUGUAACCAUGGCACAAUACUCACUUUAGCCAAGGAGUGUGAGACGAUAACUUAUUUCUUUAUCUUCUAAGAAAUAGUAGAACAAUUAAGAAAAAUAUAAAAUUCAGUAAUAAGUCAUCGAGUCAUGGGCAGCUGGCCCAGCCUAAAUCAUAAUGAGCUAUGAGAUGGAGAGAGCUAGAAGAAAAAAGAAGAAUGCCUUAGCCAUGGGUGUCUUGAAAAUAGCAAAGCAAGCAAAAGGCGGCAUCAAGGUAAGAUUUGCAAUGUUAAUGUAUAAAUUAACUAAGAAUAUGGACUAAGUAAAAAAUAUCAAGCCGAAUAACCAUAAGGUAUAUGAGAAGGCCAAUGAGGCAGUGGUAUGAAGAAAGAUCAUCAAGCGACUAGCCAUCAAAGUCUAUGAGCUUUAGAUGUUGCUCCAUAGGAGUCUUAACAGUUCCGACACUCAAAAGAUCCAUAUCUUUUAGAAUUUCUAAAGUAUAUUUUCAUUGUGAAAGAUAGAUGCCUUUAGAAGAUUGACUAAUCUUCAUGCCCAAAAAAUAUUAAAAGGUCCUAAUGUUGGGUUUGGCAUCUCGAAUUCGAUCCACAGCCAAGAAGCCACCCAAGAUAGAGAAGCCCAGCAGACCAAGCCUGCAAAUGCAAGCGCGCAGGCCUGCAGACCUAUAGGCUCAAGUUGUGGGGGCCCAGGCCCACUGGCACCCAUGGCUCGCAGGCGCAUAGCGGGCCUGCAGCGUGCGUGGCCAGCAGUGUGCAACCCAGCAUGUCGCACGGUCCACCUAGGAGACCACUUCACUUGGUCCACGCACAAGAAUACACAAUCCGAUGGCUGAGGAUGCGAUCAUGAGCUAUUUUGCACCAUCGAAUGGCCAGGAACAUGUGCAGGGGCGAUCCAAUGGCCAAAAUGAGUUUUUUGAGUCCCAACAGGAGAUUGGAUUCGAUUAGGACUCAAUUUGGGCUCUUUAAAAGCGGCAGACAGGCUGGAAAGAGCGUGUAGCGGCUUGUAGUGGCCAAAGAGCCUUCUUGAGGAUUUUUGAGGGUUUUUUGAGAGUUUUUUGUAAGAAUUUUUUGUGCCUCUUGUUGAGAGAGAGAUUGAUGUAUGAGGAUUGAGAGGGUUUGAUCUCCUCUUGUAUUUAUUCUUUCUUUCAUAGUAAAGUUUGCAUGUCCUGUGGCGGUAAGAUUUAGGCGGAUCUACAUAUUUGAUUGUGUCUUUGUAUACUUCUCUUCUUUCUUCCUAUUGCGGUAUCGACAUCGUCACCAACAAUUACGAUCUUGGGUGGGGGAUCCAUAUUCCACACUCGUGAGGGAUCCUUCCCAACAAGUGAUAUCAAAGCACUCGAUUGCCCAGGUUGUGACGGUAUUGAUCGAGGUUGAAGAAGAUGGAGAAAACAGGCUCAAUCAAGAUAGAGAUCAAUCGGUAUGAUAGGAAGAGCAAUUUCUCCCUAUGAUAGUAAGGAUGAAGGAUGUGCUCAUCCAACAAAAGUUGAUUAAUACUCUCUUAUGCAAGGAGAAACAGACUACCAUGGAGGAGAAAGAUUGGAGGUAGCUCCGGAUGCAGGCGAUAAGUACUAUCCACUUGUACUUGAUAGAUGAUGUGGUGAUUCAUAUGCUUAGUGAAACUUCUCCGAUGGCGAUAUAGAUGAAGCUCGGAGAGAUGUACAUGGCGAAGUUACUUAUCAACACUCUCUUCUUUUAGAAGUAGUUCUACCAACUGUAGAUGAGCAUGGAAUAGAGUGUGUAGGAGUAUCUCAGCAACUUUCAGAAGAUCCUCACUGAUCUCCCCUCAAUGUUAGCAAGAAGGUUGAGAAGAAGAUCAGGACAUUGGUUUUGCUUUCAUCGCUUUUCUCUUCUUUUGAGUUUUUGAUGACUGCUCUUCUUAUGGAGAAAAAUACCAUCAAGAUAGAUGAGGUCACUUCUGUAUUUCUCCAAAAUGAGGUUCUCAAACGGAAGAAUCGAGCUUCGAGUUUAGAUGAUGACUCAACUAUGGUGAUGACCGAAAGAGGUGGUAGCAGAGGAUGAAGGGGCAGAGGAUUGCAAAGUAGGUGGUCCAAAUCCAAGUCAAGGGACUACAGCAAGAUUCAAUGUUACAGGUGUAAUGAGUUGAGACAUCGAGUUAGAGAUUGUCCAUAGCUCAAAAAUCGGACGAAGGCUACUAUAAAGGCAGUCCAAGGUAGUGAUAUAGAAGAAAGUGAUGAUGUUUUUCUGGUGUUUGAUAAGAUAUCUACUUCUUUCACACAGUAAAUUUUACAUUCUGCAUGUUUGUAUCAUAUUUGUUGCAGAGAGAAGCUAUUUGUCUCCCUAAAAAGCAAUGAGAGCACUAUUCAUUUGUCAGAUGGAUCGAGCUAUGCGAUCAAGGAUAUUAAGACUGUCAGUGUACAGACUUAUGAUGGAGCAGUGAAGAAAUUGGAUGAAGUCCGAUACAUACCAAGCUUCAGGAGUAAUCUGAUUUUAUUAAGCUAAUGACAGAAUCCUAAAAGUUUUGCACAUCAGUAGGGUUGUGUUGAAGGAAAAGAGAUAUUAAAAAUAUUAUCUCUUGGCAGGGAGCUCAGUACGAGGUGAAACUUCAGGAGCCAGUGGGAGCUUAGAAUGAGGUAGAGCUCUAGGUACAGAUAGUUGGGCACAAGAUAAAAAACUCAGGAGGAUGACAUGUGACAUCACAGGGUGAAGUUUCUAUUAUCGCGAGAAGCUGCCCCGAGCAGAUCUCAGAUCAGAUAGAUCACAGCAUAUGACAAAGAUGAGAUCGAGCGACCUAGCUCGACUCAUGUUUGUCCAUCUAUAAGCAGCCAGACAUUUAUCCUAAGGCAUGAGGACGAGAUCAUCUAAAAGCUCUCAAAGUUAUGUGGAGGCUGAAUAUCGAGUUGAAGUGAAGAUUAUUGGAUUUUGAUGCAUCAAAUUCGAUCCACAGCAGAGAAGUCCAAGAUGGAGAAGCACAGCAGAUCAGGCCCACAAGCACAGGCCGUAGGGUCGGCCUAUGGGCGUGCAGGCCUGCCAGCACACACGGCCAGUAGGUGCAUGGGCGCCUGCAAUGCGAAUGGCCCAGAGUAGAGACUAUGGCAUGCGUGGCCCAUAGCACAGUGCCCAGCAUGUCGCAUGGUCCAGGAGAUCGCUUCACACAGUCCAUGUGUGGGAAUGCACAAUCCGACAGCUGAGGGCACGAUCGUGAGCUAUUUUACGUGAUCGAAUGAUCAGGAAUGCAUGCAGGGGUGAUCAAACGGCUGCAAGGAGUUUUUUGAGUCCCAACAAGAGACUGGAUUCAACUAGAACUUGAUUUGGGCCCUUUAAAAAGAGCAGACGGGCUAGGAAGAGCGUGUAGUGGCUUGUAGUGACUAGAGAGCUUUCUUGAGGAUUUUUUGAGAGCCUUUUGUGAGAGUUUUUUGUGCUUUUUGUUGAAAGAGAUAUUGAUAUAUGAGGGUUGAAAGGGUUUGAUCUCUUCUUGUAUUUAUUUUUUUUCUAUAGUGAAGCUUGCAUAGUCCAUAAAAGUAAGCUUUGGAUUGAUCCAUGUAUUUGUUUGUUUUUAUAUAUCUCUCUUCUUCCUUCCUGUUGUGACAUCGACAUCGACACCAGCAAUUGCCAUCUUAGAUGGAGAAUCUAUAUUCCGCACUCGUGAGAGAUCCUUCCCAAUAUCCAAAUCUUUAAUGUAAAAUUUGGAGAGGAGAUAGACUUAAGAGUAUCAAUAACCAUAGUAUUAUUACCGAUUAAGAUAAUAUCAUCAAUAUGAGCUAUAAUGAAGAGUUGGGAAUUACCUCAAAUAUAAAAGAAAAUGAAAUAAUCAGCAUAAGAUUGAAUGAAGCCAACAUCAAGCAAGGCUUGAGAGAACUUCUGAAACUAAUUUCUGCCAGCUUGUUUGAGACCACCAAUGACUUGUUCAUUUUACAAACUUGAUUCUCUCCCAGGUGAGAUAAAUUGAUGGAAUUUUUACAUGGACUACUUCGGAGAGUUUCCAUAUAAGAAUAUAUUAUUAACAUCAAAUUGAUGAAGAUUCCAAUCAUGAAUAAUGACAAUAGCAAGCAAGCAACUAACUAUGAUAAUUGUUACAAUUGGGGCAAAAGUCUUAUGGUAGUCAAUGCCUUUCUACUAUAUAAACCCCUUAGCCACAAGCCUGAUCGUAUAUCGCUCUACAGCACCAUUAGAUUUGUAUUUGACCUUAUACAUCUAUUUGCACCCCAUAGAUUAUUUUCCUAGAGAAAGAGGUAAUAGUAUCUAGACACUAUUUGCCUCAAGGACAUAAAUUUUUUUCUUCAUAGCCUCUCGAUAUUGAGGAGAUUUAAGAGCCUGCAAAAAGUUCUAGGUUCAGGAAUAAAAUUAAAAAUAACUAGAAAAGCAUGAUAAGAGGAGGUAAACUUAUCAUAUAUCAAAUAGUUGGAGAAUGGAAAAGAUAUAACUUAGGAUGAAAACACCGAAAAUGAGGAUCGUUGGUGUCAGAGUUUAGAGGUGGUAGCAGUGGAGCAGUAAUAAUCCUUUAGAUAUGUAGGUCACUUGGUCAGCUGAAUAAAAUGAUAUAGGGGUUGGUUUAAUGUCACUAGAUGAUGUAGGAGGUGAUUUGGAGAAGAUGAUAGGUAUGAGGUUAAUGGGCAUAGGUGCAGUAGAGGAAAACUCAUGGUUAGAGGAUGAAAUCAUACUGUUAUGUAGAAUAGUGGAGUAGAUAGGAGGUACUGGUACAGAUAAAGUAGGGUCAAGGAAAAAAAUAUUUGCAGGAGCAGGUCGGACUGGGUUAGGAAAAAGAGAACUUAGUGGAAUAUAUUGGAAAAAAAAAUAUUUUUAAAGAAAUAGAUAUUUCUACUUGUGAAUAUUUAUUUUGUUUAGAUAUGAUAUAUCUGAUAGCAUUUUUGUCUAAAAGAAUAACCUAUAAAAAUAUCAGGAAUAGCAUGAGCUUCAGAUUUAUGGUUCGUAUGGAUGUUACAGGCAAAACAUAGAUAACCAAAAAUCCUAUAGUGAGCAUAACUAAGUCGAGUACUAAACAAACUUUUAUAUAAAGAACGGUUGGACUAAAUUAGAGAGGGAAUGCGAUUAACCAAGUAAAUUGCUGUAAGAACGUAAAUGCCUUAAAAAUCAAAAGGAAGGUGGACCUAACAUUGCAAUACACGGGUAAUUCAAGUCAAAGUGUAUAUUUGCAUUCACCAACCUCACUUUGUUGGGGUAUCCCAACACAAUUAUAUUCAUAAAUGAUGUCCUCAAGGCGUCGAAAAUGUAAAGUUCAUGAUGGAAAAAUUCAGAGCCAUGAUCAAUUUUGUUCAUUUAAUAUAGGCGUUAUGCUGGAUUUUAACAAAUGAGGUGAAAGUUUAGAUAUAAUAUUGAUAUUGAGAUUUAUAUUGCAUUAAAUGCAUAUGUCGGCCUAAUUUGGUAUCGAGAGGAUUAAGAUAUGAUUUUCAUUAUAGCUGCCCAUAUUUGCUUAUGUGCCGACAAAAUCAAGAUAUGAUUCCCAUCAUUGGUAAAUGAUGAUAAUGUGAUUGGAAAAAUAGUUUUGAAGAAAAAAGUUUGACUAUUUAGCAUAAUUCAAAAGGUUACAAGGUGGUGGGUUAGUGAAUUAUAUAUAACUCUGCAAACUAAGUCGAACCUUUUCCUUUUUUUUUUUUUUUUNUUUUUUUNUUUUUUUUUUUUUUUUUUUAUUUUUUAUUUUUUACUUUU